GGACACCACUAGAUCACUUUUUCCCUCCCAGGGUGAGAUGUGUUUUUAUUGUGGGGUUUGCUAUUGACUUUCUGUUGGUUUGGUUUUCAUUUAAGGUGUGUGUUGAUUACAGCUCAUACGAGAGAAUGAUGUGGCCCUGAUUUGUGCAAGCUGGGAGCACUGAUGUCCACGGUGCUGCUGUCAGCAGUCACAGUCUGGGAGCACUGCUAUCAAGACCAUCUAAUUAUACAUGUUCAUGAAGAAUGGUGUUUGGCAUUCUGAGGGAGAAAAUAUCUUUUUUCAUACUGUGCAUACAUACUUCUGGAACAAGAUGGGCUCAGCCAUUCAGAAAAGCUCCAUCCACCCUCUUCUUGCUGUUCCUGCAUACAGACUGCUGUUGUGUGGUGACUCCUGUUGACACUUGUGUGGUCCUAGAAAGAGCUUAACAUCUCAGGCUUAACAGCUGUUGUGCCACAAACUUCAGCAAUGUCCUCCUCAACUUCUGUCCACCAGGAUCCAAGCUGCUGAAAUGAGGUUUAAGGCAAAAUGAAUGUUCCAGCCAGGAGGAUGCUCUGGAAAUGUCACUGCUUCCCCAGGAAGAGGCUUGCCUGAGAGUUCCGUCAAUUACAGACCAUGCGCCUGGCAAGAAAGGCCUUGGCCAGCUCUGCUUUGUGUCAGCCAUUGGGGUGCUGCCACUGAAGGUGUGGCAUGGCAGUGGCUGUUCAAAUGCAGCUGCUGCAGAAGCUGGGUGGAAGGACACCACCUCCCUGUCCUCUGAUAGGGAGCUCCAGGAACUGGCUGCCACUGAGCAGGUUUCAGGUCUGCAGCACAGCUCCUCAGACUUCUGUUUCCCUGCUGAAAGAGUCAGAUGCAGCUGCAUGUUGACAGGAUUCUCAGAUGCAGUCUUUUUGCACAUUAAGAUUCCUAAAGCCUGCACCAACUUCAGCGAGCUCCUUUCAGUCACAGGGUUGAAUUUGUGCUGUGAAGCUGCCUUGAUGUUAUCAAUAUUUUAAGGCAACAUCGGAUUUCAAAUUGUGUCUCUCUUGGCUGUAUUGAAAAGAAUGGGAUCCAGACAGACAGAAAGUUGUCAUUAGUUUCCAAAAUGCUUUCAGGGAGACAAAUAUAUGUUAGAAAAUAAUUAGGAGCGUAAUUAGAAAGGAGCUCUGCAGAAGAGAGUUGUAUUUAUUAUUUAAAGCCAUAAGUAGUAUGGCAAUAGCAGUUUCUGCCAAGAACACAUGGCUAUUGCCUAUUAAUGCAAUUAAAAUUACAUCAGGCUGCUAA